rnacentral:rRNA from 1 species
GAUGAACGCUGACAGAAUGCUUAAUACAUGCAAGUCGAUUCAAGUUACCUUCGGGUAAUGAGGAUGGCGGACGGGUGAGUAACGCGUAAGGAACUUGCCUCUUGGUCUGGGACAACUGUUGGAAACGACAGCUAAUACCGGAUAUUAUGAGAUUCUCACAUGGGAAACUUAUGAAAGCUAUAUGCGCCAAGAGAGAGCCUUGCGUUCCAUUAGCUAGUUGGUGGGGUAACGGCCCACCAAGGCGACGAUGGAUAGCCGGCCUGAGAGGGUGAACGGCCACAAGGGGACUGAGACACGGCCCUUACUCCUACGGGAGGCAGCAGUGGGGAAUAUUGGACAAUGGGCCACAAGCCUGAUCCAGCAAUUCUGUGUGCACGAUGAAGGUCUUCGGAUUGUAAAGUGCUUUCAGUUGGGAAGAAGAAAGUGACGGUACCAACAGAAGAAGCGACGGCUAAAUACGUGCCAGCAGCCGCGGUAAUACGUAUGUCGCAAGCGUUAUCCGGAUUUAUUGGGCGUAAAGCGCGUCUAGGCGGAAAAAUAAGUCUGAUGUUAAAAUGCGGGGCUCAACUCCGUAUUGCGUUGGAAACUGUUUUUCUAGAGUACUGGAGAGGUGGGCGGAACUACAAGUGUAGAGGUGAAAUUCGUAGAUAUUUGUAGGAAUGCCGAUGGAGAAGUCAGCUCACU